rnacentral:rRNA from 1 species
UACGUAGGGUGCAAGCGUUAAUCGGAAUUACUGGGCGUAAAGCGUGCGCAGGCGGUUUUGUAAGUCUGUCGUGAAAUCCCCGGGCUUAACCUGGGAAUGGCAAUGGAGACUGCAAGGCUAGAAUCUGGCAGAGGGGGGUAGAAUUCCACGUGUAGCAGUGAAAUGCGUAGAGAUGUGGAGGAACACCGAUGGCGAAGGCAGCCCCCUGGGUCAAGAUUGACGCUCAUGCACGAAAGCGUGGGGAGCAAACAGG